GACAGAGGUGCCGAGCGUUAGGCGGAAUCACUGGGCUUAAAGCGCGUGUAGGCGGGUCGUUAAGUGCCUUGUGAAAUCCCCCGGCUCAACCGGGGAACGGCUGGGCAUACUGGCGACCUUGAGCCACCUAGGGGCGAGCGGAACAAGCGGUGGAGCGGUGAAAUGCGUAGAUAUCGCUUGGAACGCCGACGGUGAAAACAGCUCGCUGGGGGUGUGCUGACGCUGAGACACGAAAGCCAGGGGAGCGAACGGG
rnacentral:rRNA from 1 species